GGGAAACCGGAGCUAAUACCGGAUAAUAUUUUGAACCGCAUGAUUCAAAAGUGAAAGACGGUCUUGCUGUCACUUAUAGAUGGAUCCGCGCUGCACUAGCUAGUUGGUAAGGUAACGGCUUACCAAGGCAACGAUGCAUAGCCGACCUGAGAGGGUGAUCGGCCACACUGGAACUGAGACACGGUCCAG
rnacentral:rRNA from 1 species